ensembl:rRNA 5S_rRNA 5S ribosomal RNA
GCCUACGGCCAUCCCACCCUGGUAACGCCCGAUCUCGUCUGAUCUCGGAAGCUAAGCAGGGUCGGGCCUGGUUAGUACUUGAUGGGAGACCUCCUGGGAAUACCGGGUGCUGUAGGCU